UGCCUUACACAUGCAAGUCGAACGCGAAAGGGGAGCAAUCCCCGAGUAGAGUGGCGAACGGGUGAGUAAUACAUCGGAACGUACCCAGUAGCGGGGGAUAACCUCUCGAAAGAGAGGCUAAUACCGCAUACGACCUACGGGUGAAAGAGGGGGAUCGCAAGACCUCUCACUAUUGGAGCGGCCGAUGUCGGAUUAGCUAGUUGGCGGGGUAACGGCCCACCAAGGCGAUGAUCCGUAGCUGGUCUGAGAGGACGACCAGCCACACUGGAACUGAGACACGGUCCAGACUCCUACGGGAGGCAGCAGUGGGGAAUUUUGGACAAUGGGCGAAAGCCUGAUCCAGCCAUGCCGCGUGAGUGAAGAAGGCCUUCGGGUUGUAAAGCUC
rnacentral:rRNA from 1 species